AUCCCCUGGGAUGGAGCAGAUCCCCUGGGGUGGAGCAGAUCCCCUGGGAUGGAGCAGAUCCCCUGGGAAGGAGCAGGAAUUGCACU